rnacentral:rRNA from 1 species
UACGUAGGGGGCUAGCGUUGUCCGGAUUUAUUGGGCGUAAAGAGCGUGUAGGCGGCCCGACAAGUCAGUUGUGAAAACUAGAGGCUUAACCUCUAGACGUCGAUGGAAACUGUGUGGCUAGAGUCCGGAAGAGGAGAAUGGAAUUCCUGGUGUAGCGGUGAAAUGCGCAGAUAUCAGGAAGAACACCCGUGGCUAAGGCGGUUCUCUAGUACGGUACUGACGCUGAGACGCGAAAGCGUGGGGAGCGAACAGG